UUUAACAGUGAUUAAAACUUGGCUACGAGCGCAGGCAACUUGAGGAAACUGCCAAGCAGCUGAGACUAGAAAAAAAGUGAAGCCCUAGAUGUGUGUAAUUACUUUGUGCUCUGCCACAUACACACAUCUCUGCCUGUCUCUCUGUCAGUGAAAUAUCAGGAGAAUUGUUAUAGCACUUUAAUUAUUCACUGUCAAUCAUCCCUCAACCAGCACAGACGGGUGUGUGCGUUAUCUGAAAAGUGCAGUGUUAUCUGAAAGCUCUUGGGGAGGUCGCUGAGGUCACACAGGUACGAGUUCUGUCUGCCUGGCUGUAAUUGAUUCCUGUUCUCAUUUCUCUCCUCCUGCCUUCAGACCAGCCCCGUGCUCUGCAGAGCUCAGUCAAUGUCUGCAGCCGCCAGAGCUCUGCCGUGCUGGCAGCCCCCAGCGCAGCUGCUUCGCCCUCCGGAGCAUGCAAACGGUGGGGCUGUGCUUGGGCAGCCCCAGGAACUUGCAGGUGUCUCUGGCACAGGGUGACCUCUGACACGGGCUGGUUCUUGUUCUGGGUGACCCACAAGCUGUCCUCCUCCUCUGCCCUGAGCUGAUUGUGCUUCCCACCUCAGCAUGGGAAGGAUGACUUGCAGCAGCUUUAUCCAAGCACUCUGAGACCCAGAGCUCCUCUUGCACCCGUGGCUCUUGAGCUGAUGUUGGCUACCAGAGGCCAUGAGGGGGACAGCCUGUCUGCGGGGCCACGGGUCAAAUGCACACAGCUGUGAACAAGCUAUGGACAAAUAGCCUGAAAAAAAAAAAAAAAGAAAAAAAAUCCUUCAAUGAUUGCAGGUUUCCUGGUGUGACUGAAAACCUGCAGAAGGUGCCAGCCCAGGAGCAGCUCCAGGCUUUCCAGGCUGGCUUCAUAUACCAGGUAAUGAGCCUUCCUUGGGCUGAGAUGGCUGUUAGAAACCUCUAAGAAGAGAAAGACUCAAAUAAUUCCCCUUGCAACAGGUAACAUAUAUUAUACAGUAACUACGUAUAAAGCUUUAAUGCACAAGCUGCUUUUCUAUGCUUAUCGCUGGAGGCUCAGUGUGCGGCUCCAGCACCAUGGCACAUGGGCUGCAGCUGGGCCAUGUGGAGAGCUGAAUUAUUUUUUUAUCCUCUGGAGUCACAUGGUGAGCCAGCAGCUGUCUUCUGCUAGAAUCACAGAAUCACGGAGUCAUUAAGGUUGGAAAAGCCCUCCAAGAUCAUCUGAUCCAACCAUCCCCCUACCACCAAUGUCACCCAUUAAACCAUGUUCCCAAGCACCACGUCCAACCUUUCCUUGAAUUCUCCCAGGGAUGGUGACUCCACCACCUCCCUGGGCAACCCAUCCCAAUGCUAGGGCAGACAGGGAAGCUCUUUCACUCAUUGCUUUCCUCUCUGAACAGCAGCCUUGCAGGAGAGGUGAUGGGGGUGAUGCAGGGCAGUGCCAGGCACAUGGGAAAUCCACAAUCUGGGUAAAGCUGCCAGGUGGAAAAGGGGACGUGAGGAGGAAGCCCUGAGCUGUGUGUGAUAGACGAGGUGUCUACCCAAGGCUGCCACCCUUCAGAAGUGUGCUGAUGGUUGCAGGUCGGGUGGGAGGUAGCACACGCUGCCUUGUCUGAGAGAAGAGAUCAGCACCCGAGGAAGAGGCUGGACGCUGAACAGUUUGGGCAACUCAAUUCUAAUUUGUUUUUUAAAAUGCUUUGAGCAUUUUUAAUGCCGUGUUUGAGUAAGAUUAAUAGAUAUGUAUUCCUAUGAAAAUCCAUUUUCUUGCCCAGGUUAUAAACGUCCGAUGUGAAAUCUCAGGGUGAGGAAUAUGGAUUCCCGCGGACAGACUGCCUCAGCCUAACUAUUGCAUAACUCAUGCUCUGCUCCUGGCCUGGUGGCAUGGAAACAGUUCCUCGUACAUAGCUUUAUAUAACUGCUGUAUAUAACCUGCUAUAGCUUAACUGCAGCAAUUUAAAAAGCAAUGACUAUUUAUUCCCAAGUGUGGUCCCCGAUCAAAGUUGGAGUCUCCAUUUUAGGUGUUAAAUAUUUAUUCAAAGUGCAGAUCACACAUUUCUGGUGCUGUGCAGGGAAUUUUUGAUAAAGCACUGUUCCGCACUGAACAC